rnacentral:rRNA from 1 species
UGCCACAGCCAAAUCGACCUACAGCCCAACACUGGUUACUCAUUGAAGCUAAGUAGGGCUGAGCCUGGUUAGUACCUGGAUGGGAGACCACAUGGAGAAACUAGGUUGCUGUUGGAA